rnacentral:lncRNA from 1 species
AAACCCCAUGUGUUUGUGCGUUUAUUUGUGAAUACCCCACUAAAGAUUUUUAUUUUGUCUUAGCACUAGGAAGUUAACGAUUCUGUCAAAAACCUGUUAGCAGAAUGUGACGUGGAUUAUUUAAUAAUAAAUGAAUCUGAUGUGGUGUAAACUUAAAUAAGAGUACACGUGUUAUAAUCUGGUUGAACAGAUGUGAUUAAAUCCGACGGCUAUGAUAUGUAC